CCUACGGGGCGCAGCAGUGAGGAAUAUUGGUCAAUGGACGAGAGUCUGAACCAGCCAAGUAGCGUGAAGGAUGACUGCCCUAUGGGUUGUAAACUUCUUUUAUAUGGGAAUAAAAUGUUCCACGUGUGGGAUUUUGUAUGUACCAUAUGAAUAAGGAUCGGCUAACUCCGUGCCAGCAGCCGCGGUAAUACGGAGGAUCCGAGCGUUAUCCGGAUUUAUUGGGUUUAAAGGGAGCGUAGGUGGAUUGUUAAGUCAGUUGUGAAAGUUUGCGGCUCAACCGUAAAAUUGCAGUUGAAACUGACAGUCUGGAGUACAGUAGAGGUGGGCGGAAUUCGUGGUGUAGCGGUGAAAUGCUUAGAUAUCACGAAGAACUCCGAUUGCGAAGGCAGCUCACUGGACUGCAACUGACACUGAGGCUCGAAAGUGUGGGUAUCAAACAGGAUUAGAUACCCCUGUAGUC
rnacentral:rRNA from 1 species